AGGUUUGUAUCAAACCUUAAACUACAAAAAAUUUAAUGGCGCGAUAUAAGACCCAGUGACCUCUGGUAUACCUGGUUUUGGUAACUUUCUAUAUUAGCAACAACGGAAUAUGCGAAUGAGAGGCUCAUCUUACUGACUGAAGUACAUGGCUCCACUCGCCAAACCAAUAGUUUUUUUCAGCUCUAUUUGAAGCAAGUAUUUUUGGCUACGAACUUAGACAUUUAACCCAAUAAGUAGUGUAUGCGUGGAUUUUCUGUAUCUACCCAAUUACUUCGUGUAGCAUUUAGGUUAUUCCAAAGGUGGGUUUUAUCCGAUUUCUUUACAUCACACAAUUUAUAGAGCUUCUAAGAUAUCUUUGGUCUUCCUCAUCUCUUCAACUUGCAGCACUUGAAUCCGGGUCCAAUAGCAUCCGCUGCUACUGAUGAAGUCGGUGCGCAAAAUGGGGACAAAUGGACAAUAGUGAUGAGGUCUCCUACUAAGUGAAAUGUUGCUCCAGGUGUGAAGAAUCAGCAGCAGAAUAUGAGUGUUCCAACUGCUCGACAAACCGCGUCAAAGGCUGUCACAAGUCCAAAUAGUUUUGAAGCACUAGCAGAAGAGGUGAACGUUGGUGUUAACUCUCUAACAGUCAAGGAUACUAGAUUGAUGCAGGAAAUUACACCAUGUAUUAGCAGUAGCAAACAUGAUUAGUCAAGUGAAAAUCUUUCUAAGAAGUUGGGUAUUCGACAAGUUGCCUCGGAGAAUAAUUUGGUUGAGAAUGUGGGGGAUGAUCAAGUAGUGUGACACAGCACUCCUGGGUUGCCUUUUUCCAGCCCAGAAGUUGAAAGAAUUAUCAAAGAAACUCAGAUUUCCAUGAUGAUGAAUGCUAAUCGUACGAUCAACCA